UACGGGGGGGGCAAGCGUUGUUCGGAAUUACUGGGCGUAAAGGGCUCGUAGGCGGCCAACUAAGUCAGACGUGAAAUCCCUCGGCUUAACCGGGGAACUGCGUCUGAUACUGGAUGGCUUGAGUUUGGGAGAGGGAUGCGGAAUUCCAGGUGUAGCGGUGAAAUGCGUAGAUAUCAGGAGGAACACCGGUGGCGAAGGCGGAUCUCUGGGCCAUUACUGACGCUGAGUGAGCGAAAGCCAGGGGAGCAAACGGG
rnacentral:rRNA from 1 species